rnacentral:rRNA from 1 species
UACGGAGGGUGCAAGCGUUGUUCGGAAUUAUUGGGCGUAAAGCGCGCGCAGGCGGCUUGAGAAGUCUAUGGGUGAAAGGCCGGGGCUCAACCCCGUGUGUGCCCAGGAUACUCUCAGGCUAGAGACACGUAGAGGCAAGCGGAAUUCCGGGUGUAGCGGUGGAAUGCGUAGAGAUCCGGAAGAACACCGGUGGCGAAGGCGGCGAUCUGGGUCGAGUACUGACGCUGAGGUGCGAAAGCGUGGGGAGCAAACAGGG